CUUCACAGGUGCUUAUCUCUCCACUUAUUAUUCCGAUCACAGACCUCUAUGAAUUCACUUGUGUGAAAGGAAAUGUUUGUAAAUCCCCAGCACUACUGCAGCGUAUUCGGAGAGAUCAUCUGCCGUGGCUCUGAUCCGCAUUAGACAAGGCUUAAAACAACAUACUUUCCAUGCCCCGCCUGGCCCACUUUCGCAGAACAAAGGUUGUCCGGAAGACCUCCUUCCCACAGCCUGGCUAGUGGCCACUACGUGAAGUAUAAAGGGUAGAAUUGAGCUGCUGCACAUGCCCAGUGGCACCAUAUAUUCCUACCAAGUCUGCUGUGAGUGUCUGUGGAUCUGAGUGCUCAGUCAUCGCACCAGAGCGAGAAUCUCAAACUCUACAUUAUAAGCCAUGUGGCAAAGUUUGGGCUGCAAGCCUGAAGUUGCGGCAGAGUGACUUCCAGCGGAAGCAGCCUGAGCUAUUGGUGAAGCUCUACAGUGAAAUUCUGCAGUGUACAGUAAGCAUGACAUGAUGGGGAGGGGAUCCUUCAUACCCACGGCAAAAAGCUGGUUGGGACUCAGAGAUUCACAAACUCUUGACUACACCGCUCACGACCCCUGAUGAAGUCCCGUGUGGACGAAAUGCGUUGGGUAUUCGCGCAAUUGUGAAGUUGAACGUACUUCUGAACACAUUGGUAGAAAUAACUAUCACUUAUGUCAAUAGACAAUUAGUUUGUAUUCUCCAUCUAUGGUAUAAAGUCAAUUACAUGUUUUAUUGGAUUUUUAUGUAUUGUUAUAACAUUCAAUGUUAACUUUUAAAAUAAAUGUAUUU